rnacentral:rRNA from 1 species
GGUCAAGCGAACAAGUGCAUGUGGUGGAUGCCUUGGCGAUCACAGGCGAUGAAGGACGCGGUAGCCUGCGAAAAGCUACGGGGAGCUGGCAAACGAGCUUUGAUCCGUAGAUGUCCGAAUGGGGAAACCCACUCCUUUUGGAGUAUCCAUGGCUGAAUACAUAGGCCAUGCGAAGCGAACGCGGUGAACUGAAACAUCUAAGUAACCGCAGGAAAAGAAAUCAACCGAGAUUCCCAAAGUAGUGGCGAGCGAAAUGGGAUGAGCCUUGCACUCUUUAUUUGUAUUGUUAGCCGAACGCUCUGGAAAGUGCGGCCAUAGCAGGUGAUAGCCCUGUAGGCGAAAACAGUAUGAAAGAACUAGGUGUGCGACAAGUAGGGCGGGACACGUGAAAUCCUGUCUGAAGAUGGGGGGACCAUCCUCCAAGGCUAAAUACUCGUGAUCGACCGAUAGUGAACCAGUACCGUGAGGGAAAGGCGAAAAGAACCCCGGGAGGGGAGUGAAAUAGAUCCUGAAACCGCAUGCAUACAAACAGUCGGAGCCUCGCAAGGGGUGACGGCGUACCUUUUGUAUAAUGGGUCAGCGACUUACGUUCAGUAGCAAGCUUAACCGUAUAGGGCAGGCGUAGCGAAAGCGAGUCCGAAUAGGGCGUUCAGUUGCUGGGCGUAGACCCGAAACCAGGUGAUCUAUCCAUGGCCAGGAUGAAGGUGCGGUAACACGUACUGGAGGUCCGAACCCACUAACGUUGAAAAGUUAGGGGAUGAGCUGUGGAUAGGGGUGAAAGGCUAAACAAACCUGGAAAUAGCUGGUUCUCUCCGAAAACUAUUUAGGUAGUGCCUCGUGUCUCACCUUCGGGGGUAGAGCACUGUCAUGGUUGGGGGGUCUAUUGCAGAUUACCCCGCCAUAGCAAACUCCGAAUACCGAAGAGUGCAAUCACGGGAGACAGACAUCGGGUGCUAACGUCCGGUGUCAAGAGGGAAACAACCCAGACCGCCAGCUAAGGUCCCCAAAUAUAGCUAAGUGGGAAACGAAGUGGGAAGGCUAAAACAGUCAGGAGGUUGGCUUAGAAGCAGCCACCCUUUAAAGAAAGCGUAAUAGCUCACUGAUCGAGUCGUCCUGCGCGGAAGAUGUAACGGGGCUAAGCUAUAUACCGAAGCUGCGGAUGCG